rfam:Talaromyces stipitatus ATCC 10500 scf_1105507295541 genomic scaffold, whole genome shotgun sequence.
GCCCUUGUAGCUCAGUGGUUAGAUCGUCGUGCUUAUACUAUAAUUGUCCAAUCUGGAUGAUUAUGUUGGUAUCACGAAUGUCCGAGGUUCGACCCCUCGCUGGGGCA